CAGGGCUUGGGAAGUGGCUUGCUGUGUAGUUGGAGCCAGGUGGCUUCAGCCUCAUACCAGCCGGCCUCACCCGUGCCCCAGAUUAACUCCCACGCAGACUCCGUGCUGGGGUUUGUCCUAUGCAGUAACAGGUGUGAGCAUUCAUGGAGUGUUUUGAUGGUCAUGUAUGAUACUGCAUACAACA
rnacentral:snoRNA from 1 species